ACAAAUAUCCAAACUGUAUCAGGACUAAGGACCAAGCCCUUCUCUGUCUCUUGGGACUAGGUAAGACCUGAAAUUCUUAUACGCUCCAAGGAGAUGGAAUGGACAGACUAGAGGUUCAGAGCCAGUCUAAUUUGAUAUGAAAAGGUAAAAAAAUUUGAUACUUCUUACAUCUCAGUUCUGUAGAAGAAACUCAAACCCAUUGUGUAAUUCUUUCACUUGAUAUUUGGUAUAAUAGUCAUGGUCAUCAGCUCAUUCUGAGCAGGAGUGCUAAUGAAGGAUGUGUGUCUGUCAAGUCCAGGCUGCUUCAUACAACUCUUGUGCACUCCACCCUCUAUCCCCCCAUCAUCCUCACCCCCAGUUCUUCCUCCUAUUCCCCACACUGUGGUGGUGUUGUUAAUUCAUCCACCCAUUAGGCUGAAAUGCAGGAUAUCAGGCCCAGGCCCCUAAUUGCUGUUGUAGACUGGAUACACAUUCUUAUCAACUCCCUUUACCAUGGGCUUUUUUCUCUGACCCUCUGGUAAGUGGCCUGGGACCUUCUCUAAAAUAGCAUCAUAAAUCAGCCAGAGCUGGAGUGGUAUCACCACAAAAUGAAGAAGGAGAUGAGUAGAGUACCUUCUACACAUCCUCACCCUGGGUGGCUCAAAGAGGAACUAUGCUUGUCUGAGUACCAUUGAUGAUUGAGAUAGAAUUGUAAGGUGGGUGAUCUGUCUUGCGUAGCCUCCUUCACUCUAAUCUAAUCUUACCACCUAACAUGCCCUUCCCCAUCUAGGUUACUCUUCUAAGUCUGCCUCAGUUACCUGCUGUAACCCCUUUAAAAGUGUUCCAGGUGAUUCUCCUGCAUUCGCCCAGGAGACUAUGUACAUACUUUCAACUUGAUGCAGGAACUUCCUUCAGAAUAAGCCUGCAGAUGGCAUUCAGUCUCUGCUCAGAUGUUCCCAAUGAUGCAGUGCUCAUGAGCUCAACGAAGCCAGCUCCCUUCGAACAGCUCCAUUGGGAGCAGUCUUGCAUGCGGAUGAUCAAAGGUCGGUCUCUGGAUGACAUACGUAAAUAAGCUUAUCUAGAGAGGCUACCUGCAACCGAGAAUGUUAAGCUUUCCACCCUACCCCUGAACUAAUGGUUGGCUCUGUACACAUUAUCUCAAGGGAGAGACCUGCCAGCAUAAAAAGAAGAAAGUAUCCUAAUAGUAAUCUUGGAUAUAGGUCCACAAGCCUAAGUCCCAGAGGUAAGAGUGAAUUUGGGGCAUAGAACUUGUCUUGGCCAGAACCAUGAAAUCAGAAUUUUUCCCUGUCUAGAAGAAUAAUUUUCCUGGUCUUGGAAGGGAGAGUAAGAAGGCUAAUGUGUCUCUAAGCAAGAGGAUAUAUACCCCACAUCCCAGACAGAACCAUCUGGGAGGUAGUCCUAGCCCUACAGAGAGAAUAGCUGUAUAGGCAACUAGGCAGGUAGAAUAACAGGUACCCUUGGCCCCAGGUAGGGCCUGAGAGCACAGAGGCGGCAGGCAGCAUACUGGAAAGGGACAGAGGAUAUCCCACUGGCAAAUUAGAUAGCCUGGUAACGGAGGAUCAAGGACCACAUGAUAUGCAAUGUGCUCUCCCCACUCCCACUCUGACAUGCAUAACUUUGCACAGGAUGGAGGAGAGAGAAGCAAGAAAAUGACUGAAGCUAUAUUUUCUAAUAGACUGGCAGGAAAAAUAUUAGAAAUAAAAAUUAAAUCACAAUGAAUAAUUUUUCUUAUAUACCUGUUUGUGCACUGGGAUUCAUUCUAACUAUUCUGUGAUGGUAUUUUAGAUAGUUAGAAUAUUCAUUCUAACUAUUCUGCUAUGAUGUUUUCUAAGCUCUUCCAAUUCCCAUUGGUCUUAACUCUGCUUUCACUGAGCAACUUAAGAAAGAAAAGACUUAAUUAAAAAAAAAAAAACCUUUUAGGUUCACAGCAAA
rnacentral:lncRNA from 1 species